UACGGAGGAUGCAAGCGUUAUCCGGAAUGAUUGGGCGUAAAGGGUCCGCAGGUGGCAGUGUAAGUCUGCUGUCAAAGAAUGAGGCUUAACCCCAUCAAGGCAGUGGAAACUACACAGCUAGAGUACGGUCGGGGUAGAAGGAAUUCCUGGUGUAGCGGUGAAAUGCGUAGAGAUCAGGAAGAACACCGGUGGCGAAAGCGUUCUGCUAGACCUGUACUGACACUGAGGGACGAAAGCUAGGGGAGCGAAUGGG
rnacentral:rRNA from 1 species